ACAGGUUGAUAUUCCUGUACCACCUAUAAUCGUUUUAAUCGAUGGGGGGACGCAGUAGGAUAGGCGAAGCGUGCGAUUGGAUUGCACGUCUAAGCAGUAAGGCUGAGUAUUAGGCAAAUCCGGUACUCGUUAAGGCUGAGCUGUGAUGGGGAGAAGACAUUGUGUCUUCGAGUCGUUGAUUUCACACUGCCGAGAAAAGCCUCUAGAUAGAAAAUAGGUGCCCGUACCGCAAACCGACACAGGUAGUCAAGAUGAGAAUUCUAAGGUGAGCGAGCGAACUCUCGUUAAGGAACUCGGCAAAAUGACCCCGUAACUUCGGGAGAAGGGGUGCUCUUUAGGGUUAACGCCCAGAAGAGCCGCAGUGAAUAGGCCCAAGCGACUGUUUAUCAAAAACACAGGUCUCUGCUAAACCGUAAGGUGAUGUAUAGGGGCUGACGCCUGCCCGGUGCUGGAAGGUUAAGAGGAGUGGUUAGCUUCUGCGAAGCUACGAAUCGAAGCCCCAGUAAACGGCGGCCGUAACUAUAACGGUCCUAAGGUAGCGAAAUUCCUUGUCGGGUAAGUUCCGACCCGCACGAAAGGCGUAACGAUUUGGGCACUGUCUCAACGAGAGACUCGGUGAAAUCAUAGUACCUGUGAAGAUGCAGGUUACCCGCGACAGGACGGAAAGACCCCGUGGAGCUUUACUGUAGCCUGAUAUUGAAAUUCGGCACAGCUUGUACAGGAUAGGUAGGAGCCUUUGAAACGUGAGCGCUAGCUUACGUGGAGGCGCUGGUGGG
rnacentral:rRNA from 1 species